AACAACUUCAACAGAAAAGAAGAAGCAUUGAAGCUUGAUAAAAUAUGGACACCAGUGCUCAAAACACCAAAAUCUCUAAGCAGAUAAUUUCGAUGGAGCAAAGAAAGAUAACAUAAAUCGGAUGGAACAAAGAAAGACAACAUAAAUCCGAUGAAGCAAAGGAUUAUAACAUAAAUUCGAUGGAGCAAAGAAAGAUAACGGAAGUACAACAAGUUAUUUAAUGAUAAAUUCGAUGGCAAAGAAGGAUAACGUAA